UGGGGCGGCCGCCCUCGGGCUGGCGGAGGCGCCGGAGGAGCCCCCGAGCUGCAGCCGUCUCCCUCGGGCUGCUGCCGGUGCUGCGGGCGGAGGCGGCUCCGCCCGUGUUGGGCGCUGCGAGCAGGGAGCGCUGCGGUAUCGCCGGCAUGACGGGGCUGCUGCCUGCGUUAGUGCUCGUGGCUCUUUGUGCCGUGACAGCGGAUGGAGCGGCGCUGGGCGGUAAAGCCAGAGAUGGCCGGGAGAAUGCCCAGCGCAGGGAGCAGGCGGGCUGUAUGCUUCGGAUGGCACAGGGUACUCACAAAAUAUGUCUCCCUUAGUGUCCCACAGAAACAUUCUGGGUGAAAUCUGAAUUAAGGUAUGUGUUUUCAAAUAAGUAAUCAGUUUAGAUAUUUGCCUGUGUACCUUUUCCUGUAAUUCAGAGCUUGUGUUCUGUGGGUUUUAUGAUAAACCUGUAAAACAUGUAAGAAUGGUUUUGCAAGUCUGAAUCGUUGAAGGCAGCAAUAAGUGGAUUUAAAGCCUGUUCUUGAGCAGACAAAGGGGAAAAGUGUGACUCUGAUGCUGAACUUGUCAUUUUUCAUUUGACUUGCCUUUAAUUAUUGAAGAAGAGAGAGAACUAGGAAAAGAAAUAGAAUUGAUUAUUGAGCACUCCUAAAAAGCUCACCAUGAUUCUGUGUAGAGCCAAAGUGAAGGAUGAUGGAACAGAGCUCUGUGCAUUAGAAGGAAAUAAACCUGAUGUCCACACAGAGUCUUACUAAUUUCUGUUUUUAAAAUGCAAAAUAAGUUUAGGAAGUGUUGGAAGUUAGUAUUUUGGGAAAGAAAUGGCAGUUCCACAAAACAUUCCAUUCCAUUUAAGAGAGGCCCUUGGACUGAUUCAUGUUGUAACUGCUGUCACUGCAAUCAGUUGGUGGUUCAGCCUUGAAACGUGCACUUGGCCUUCUAUAAAGCACUGUUUUGUUUGCCUUUCAGUGCUAUGAGUCUUGAUAAAUUGGAGAAGUGCCCAAGAGAAAUUCAUCAUCCUGAGAUACAAAAGGUAGGAAGUGACUUUUUUUGGUUUGGUUCUUUUUCUUUAUUGUUUUCCGGAAAUAGAAGUAAUUAAGUAUAGAUACUACUGGUUUGUUUCUUCCAGUAGCUGAUAAUACUAAUACCAACAAUAAUAAUAAUAAGAGUAAAGUAAUACUACUUCAACUGUCUUUAUUUAUCCAUUGGACUGGCCAUUUUAAAUCUAAACUUCUAAACACAAAUCAAACCAUCAUCCUUGUAGAAUCUUUAAUAGGAGUGGGCUAAAGAUCCUGGUUUUGCUUACAGGAUUUAUUGGUUCAUGAAGAGCAAGAGGUAAGUACAAGCCUAACUACCCUCUAGCUCACAGACCUGCCCGGUGAAUAGAGCUUUGUUUUUUUGAUGGGCUUGUGAUGACUUUGAAAUCAAUUGCUCAUUCAUUACAGUAAAAAAAAAAAAAUUGUUUUGAACAUGACAGCAAAAAUAACUUUAAGCACAACUUAAUAAUAAUAGAUCACCAAUUUUAGUUAAUAAUUUUAUGCUGUACUCUUGGGUGAGGGAAGACUCGGACACUCAAUAUGAGAUCAGCAAGCUAUGUUUAUUGCAGAGAGUAUCAGACACUUAUAUAGCACAUAAUAAGCUUAUGAAUAUUCUGUAAGCCAAGCGAUCUAUUGGUUAAACUAUACCAUCAACUCUUCCUCAUUCCUUUGGGCCUACAUUCCCUAUUUCCCACGUCUCUCUGUCUACUUGUUAUCCUACCCAGCUAGGCCCAGGCACACGCUAUCUUGCAGGUGCAAAACUCAAAAAUACCUGUGUUCGGUACUUUCCCAGCUCCUGGUCGACUAACGAGCGAAUGUCUGCGUGACCUCUGUCAUGGAGCCAUUUCUCCACACUAUACUAUCAAAGUUUAAAGGUAAAUUAUUAUAUAUUAGGAGAUGGUAUAAAGUGUAUGUUGUAAUGUGUAGGAUAUAUACAAAGAUACAUACUUGAAAGUCCGUAGAGGAAACAAAUUUUUAUGCCUUCUGUUUGACUGUUUGUCAUAUAUUUGGUUUUAUUUCCCAGGGAUCAGUGAAUUUUAACUCUGGAGUCCUCUAUGCUAAGGAUGCUCAGCUUACAGAUGAUGAAAUGUUCAGUAAUGUAUUUGCUGGAGCUGUGCUUACCCAAGGUUUGGGUAAAACAAGCUUUGGGUUCCUUCUGUCUCACUGGGAGUUGCCCAAUUCAGUUGCAUCUGGUGAAAUUCACCCUGAGACCUUAUAGAACCAGCUCCAACUACGUGAGAGCCAUUUGCAGUUCUCUCCAGACACCUGGAGAAUGGGUGACGUUUCUGAGGAUCCGGCGAGCGUGCUUCUGUCAAAACUCAGUUUGUGAAAUUUCUGGGGAAAACCCUUCUGUGUCCUGAAGGGUUCAAACUCUGGUGAGGAUCCAGUUAUCAGGUGCUCACCUGGAUGGUUCCAGCUGCCAAAGGUAACACUUGUACUCUUGCCCUGUAGUUUACAUCUAUUGUAUUUUUGUUAUUUUGCAGGAUUUUUUGUCUUUGCAAAAUAUUGUGCAUUUCACUCUUUGGAACCUCUCAGAUGGUUCUUUGGUGCAGCACCACCCCAUGGGACACUUGGCUGCUGUCCUGAAGGGGUUGGUCGCUAGAAUUGUAAAUCCUGGAGAGUUUGUAAGUCUUCUGUCCCCAGGGAGGUAUCAUGCUUCGUUUACUUUUGUUCUGUUGGUUAGGCGCUGCCUCUCGUUGCAAGUAUGAAUUUCAAACUGCCCUGUUCUUAUUUUAACUUUUUUCCUGGUUCUCUCCGUCCGGCAGGGAAAGACUCUCGUAUCCUUGUCCUCGAGCUCGGUGCUGUCCAAGAAGAUACAGAGACUAAAAAAAUCAUAUGAAGCAAAAUAUGACUGCAGGGAAAAGAAGCUGGAGAGAACAGAAGGGGCUGUUUCCAAAGUGACCUACAGACAUUGGAAUGAAAUCAUUAUUUACUGUGUAAAAGAAUCACUCUCCAAAGCAUCAGCCAAGGUCUAAAUGUGCCAUUCUGCCUUUUAAAAGUACCAACAUCACAGGAUUUUUCUCAGAUUAAAGCUUCCAUGGAGUCGGACACCACAACAUCGGAUCUCUCAAGCCUGGCCCUUGAGAAUUGUGUGCCUCCUGUGAACUGGUCUUGCCAGAAGGGCUUGCUGAGUUUUCCAUUGUGUGGAAAAGAGAUCCCAUUUGCAGCCUGAAGCCUCAUGUUUCCUGUAGGAUUUCUACUCCUAGAAUUGCACACUUUGAAGGAUUUCUUAUAGCAGAAGUUUUUUGGGAACUAGGACUCUGGUUGGAUUUGGGUCUCUGGACUCUCAGGUGAAGUGACCUUGAGACACUAGGGCAUGCAGAUUUCCUUGCUGUUGAAAAGAGCUAUUGUUCGCACCCAGGAGCCAUGGUCUGAAUGGGGGUGUCACCUCUUAAAUUUGCAAAUGUCACAGGAUUUCUUCUAAAUGAAUGGUGCUAAGAACAUAAGGUCUGGCUGGCUUUCGACUUAGAGGUGCCUCCUCUAAAUUGGUCUUCAGACGCUAGGUUGGAAAGUGUUCCUACAUAUGCCAAAUAGCCCUUGCUAUGCAAUUAAUAAGCUUCAAAUUACCAUGGAGUUGCUGCCCCUGCAAAGAUUUUGGCAGAGCCUGGUUGUGGUGCCCCACUCCACUCCACCACCCUUAGCAGGUCCUUAUGGUUGCAUGGGGAAUCAUCGUGGAGCAUGCCAACCCAGCUCCAUCCUGGGAACAGCACCUGUAUUUUACCCUAAAAUUUCUGUCCCAUUAUAGCUCCUGUUAGGAUACAAAUGUAACUUCUCGGUUUCCACUGAUUUUACCCCCAGUCAUCUUUCCAUACAGACAUUGCUCCACUCCCCAGAGGAUUAUUGUGAGCAGAUGUGAGUUCUGCUGUCCCUUUGGACUGACAAAGACAGAGGUUUUGUCCCAAGUUGCUUUUGAACCUGUCCUGCACCUGUUACGAGUCCUCAGUCUCCUGCAAUUUUGUGGGUCAGUCACAUGUAAAACAGCACAGCUGGCUGGCAUGCUUUGCUCAUGAGGGGAGACAAGAGAAGAAUCCCUCUGCUCACACCAGACCUGCAGCUGCCAAACCUCACCAAAGCACCUGAGGAGCCCCCAGGGACUGAUGGUACAGAAGGGAGGUGAUGGAGGACAGCACAGCAGGCAGCCUGCCCUCCAUCUGGGUGUGAAGAAGGCAGGGCUGGGAACUGUAAGCAACAUCCCAGCAGGUCUGGCUGAUGGUGCCACCCUGAGGGCUUCCCCUGCCUUUGGGCAGUCCCAGCUGCUGCAGCUCACUUGACAGACUCAUUGUCUAUACUGUGCUUGGCUGCACUGGAGAUGAUGAAGCCGAGGACAGCAAUGGUUGCCUUCACAUCCCCUGACUGCAGAUGGGAAGGAGGGCGAGCUCUGUCACCUUGGGAAGGCGUCUGCAGAGUCACUGCUGCCCGUCUCUGGAGCGUGGCUCCAUUGGGGGACCGUGGUAAGGACAGCAGUGCUCACUUAACUGUGCACCUGAGGACAGCUUCAGGAUCUUGUCAUACUGUGGGAGAGCAGAGCUUCACAGUAAACACCAGCUAACACACUGACUGCCAGUGUUAACACUAACAGUUCUUACCUAAAUAUUAAUACUAGUAACACUUACUAUGCGUAUUAUUAAUCCUAGUAGAGGCUGGUAGCGUUCUUUAGGCUGAGGCUUGCAUGAAGAAUACAAAAUUAAUUAACGUUGCUGAUUAUGCUAUUGUGUUGAAAUACUUGGCCUCCACUGCGGUAGCCCCACGCUUACCUCGAUGGCCUGCCCCAGCAGGUCCCAAAACACCUGGAUGCAGAUCAGCUUAAGCUUCACUGAUGUGAUAAACAGAGUUCACUCUUUAUAAUUUUUAAAAUUUUAAUAAAGGAUAAAAGGACAAAAUAAUCCAGCACUGGGAUGCUUUUAGCACACAGCCAAAGAGCACAGAGGUAGCUUAAAAACAUGUUCACUAUAUACUGUUACAUUGCUGAGGUUACAGGCAUAUUCAUUAACUUACACAUUAUUCAAACAUUCCUUUGACUUUUUGAUGUUCCAGGAACUCUCUUGUUUGGUUUUAACCUCUGACUUGUCUGCAGAACGUUCUGUAAAUUAGGUCUACAUAUUUUAUUUCUUCCUGUAGUUUUAUCCUGUUGCUUCACACUCCCUGAUAACACUGGUAAGAGUCGAUAAAUCCUUCCUGGAUGCUUAA